GCGGACGUAGCUCAACUGGAUAGAGCAGGUGUCUCGUAAACCCCGGUUGCCCGUUCGAGUCGGGUCGUCCGCA
rnacentral:tRNA from 1 species